UACGUAACAUCCUUCGUCUACAAACCAAAAUGGCGACUACCACGGAUUUAGCACCGUGACAGUUCGACCGAAAUUGUGCAACUCUUCAGUGUUUUCAAAAUAGACCUGAACCGUCUAAAACUACAUGACCUUGCCUGUUUGGAUUUUCAUUUGGAAUUUAAUGAAUUAUUUGUUUCGUAAAUUGUUGUUGUGUACCUACAGUUGUUGUAGUCUUGCUGCAGUGUAACGUUACUGUAAAACAAGGAUGCAUGGUGCAGUGUCUUGCUAGCAGAUAUCUAGCUAGCUAAUGCAAGGUUAACUAGCUAUUGAGUUUAGAUUACAUUGCUAGUCCUAAUAACAUAAUAAUUAUUUUACAGUGAAGGUCGUGCAAUAGUACAGAUGGCAACUGUGUAAACUGACCUGGGUUUAUGUAUUUAUUCAUGUUCCAGACCAUGGCCCUUCACAGACUAUCCUUGAGAUUACGACAAACGAAUAAUGGUGACUACAUCAAAACGAUGAAAAGCUCAAAAGCUCUGGACACUUGCCAUUCUCUCAACCAGCUUCAUGACAUGGUCACCUGGAAUGCAUUUCAAUCGAGAGGUGUACCUUGGGAGUGUCUCGUGUGAAGAGCAGCAGUGAUGUGGUGGGGGCAGUUCUAAAGGGAGCUGAGGCUACAGGCUGGGGGGCUUCAGGCUGGCUGUGGCUGUUGAUGGAGUCAACGGUCUCUGGGGAAGGACCACACUCAAGAGGAGGACAAGAGCCCUGUACUAAUACAUUCAUUCACCUCACUGUGGAUCUAUAAAAAAAUGUUGAUUUCUAUUGCUUCCAUUUUUGCCUUUGUAAUUUGUGUAAAGAUUGCUUACUUGGCUGACCUUUCUCUCCCCUGUCACUUUUCCCUUCUCUCUCUACUUUUUCUGUGUCUCUCCUCUCUGCCAGGUGGCUCAGAGGAGUUGACAUUGGUUCAUAACUUGAGGAAGAUGAUCAACAAUGACUGGUGUGGAGGGGCAGUCAUCGCCACGCUGUCUCAGACAGGAUCUCUCUACGCUCAAGCUCUGCCUACCUGCCCCAGGAGCUGCUGGGAGAGGAGGGCUUUGACAGCAUGGACCCGUUUGUCCCAGUACCAGUCUCCCUCUACAGUGAGAAGGAGUUUGAGAGCUGUUACCUCUACUACCUGGACCGCCACUGGCUACAACACCCACACAGUCAGACAGAGGAAGGGAAGAAAGAACUGAUCUUCCUCAGCAACAGAAACCCUUCUGUACUGGAGAGACUGUGUGACUUCCUGUAACAUCACACAUGGGCCCACACACCCAUAGAGAUAGGACUCAUCUUUAUCUGUGACAGCAUGGGCAGCGCCAUUGAGGCUACAACCCAUAGGAAUCCCCACUCAGUUGACUACUUUGACCACUUUAAAAUGGCGGAAGCCCUCGAUGGUGCUGCCCAUGCGACAUCAAGGCCACUAGCAUUCUCUAUGGGACAAACGCCAAUACAGACUCAUACAUGGAUUAUAACGUUGCAGUUGUGUAUGUGUCCCUCCAUAAAUUAUUCUGUUGUGAUGCAUGAUAGUGUCUUUCA